UUUAAUGUAGAUGGAUUCAAAUUUUCCAAGCUCUUUUACCAACUUUCUUAUGAGUGAGUCAGAAGAUAUUCUCUCUCAACCAAGUGAUUCUAAUCAAUUAAUUGAUGACUUAACAUGCUCGAAUUUAAAUGUCCAUUCGGCAAAAAAAUCACAAAGAAGUAAAAAUUUCUCACCAGAGGAGGAUUGUUUACUCGUCUCUGCAUGGCUAAAUACAAGCAAGGAUCCAAUUACAGGAGUUGAACAACAAACAAAACAGUUUUGGGCUCGUGUACAUGCUUGCUUUGUAGAUAAUGGAGGAAACUUGAAUAAUCAUUCACAAAUAAGUAUCUCAAGUAGAUGGCAAGAAAUAAAUAGAGAAGUCGGUAAAUUCGUUGGAUUUGUUACUCAAAUUGAAAAUCGUCAGCAAAGUGGAAUGACUGAAGAAUCAAGGAUUAAUGAUGCUCGGCAAAUGUAUGCUUCUUGCGUUGGCAAACGAUUUCAACUAGAACAUUGCUGGGUUAUUUUAAGAAAAGAACCCAAAUGAUAAUUUGAGCGUGCAAGUCAACAUCAAAGGUCAAAUAAGAAACAAAAAGGUCAUGUCAAUGCAAGUCCAGCUUCAUCAACUCCAUCCACCCCUGAUGCUGUGAGUUUAGGAGAAGAUAGUGAACCGUUGAUUUAUCAAGAUAGACCAAUCGGUCAGAAGGCUGCAAAGGAACGACUUAAACGUAGACAAGGAAAAGAUAAAGUUGGGGAUGUAACUGUAACGAAUCUCUUACAACAAUUCAGGGAUACUCUAGUUGAAAUUGA